rnacentral:lncRNA from 1 species
AUAGCACCAGUAGAGCUCUGCCUGAUCUCUGAUCUUCUGGUUCUUCUGCUCCUUCCACUGUCCAAGUCACUUACGUUACGGAGCCACUUUAAUAGAAGUCUCCAUUUUAGAUGCUGUGGCCUGGCUGCUUCUGAGGAUGGAGAAGUCCACUGCAGCAUCCGGAAAUGGUCCAGAGACACGGAUGAGACGCUCCAUCCCUCCAGCUCUUACUGUCUCAUCAGGACCAGAUGCUGCUGUGGUCUCUUCAUCAUCAGUGACCCCAGAGCAGCGAGAGCAUCUAGAGAAACACCAAAAGACACUGAGGAUUUGAUUUUGGUAGUGGUGCUCAUGGAGAGCAGCACACGAUUGUUUGGAGCAGACACAGCAGCAGUCAGAUUGUCCUGCAUGUGUUCUUCUGCUCUCACUUCAAGGUUGUGUGGUUCAGAGAGACGACAUCAAGGUCUUCCUCAUCCUGUUGCUCAACGAUGUCCCCGUUGAGAAGAGUGAGAUUGUGAAGCACAGCGCAGCAGCAGAACUGUCUCAGCUGUGUUGAGAUGAUGGUAAGAUGUGGGGUUCACCAUCUGUAAAUACAUGAUUGUUAGCAUUUAUACAUCUUUAAUCAUUUAGACAUGUUUCUUGUCAGUAAAUAAAAUAUAAACAUUUUAUCUAUUCAUGUAUUAAUUGCUUGACUGAAAACUGAUGUAUUCACAUCAACUGCAUUAGUGUAUAUUCAUGUAUAGCUAUGUCACGACAGAAAAUACAUUUUGCUUCUUUUACUAAAAUGUAAUUUUAAGGAAAAAUAUAUAUAUAAUUAUUGGUUGGCAUUUAUCAUUAUUAUUGCAUGUAAGUGUUGGGGUGGGCAAAAGAUGCAAUUCAUUAUGGGGUAAUGUUAAUUUUUGAGUAGUAAUACUUACAUUUUUAGAGUAUAAAAUCAACAAUCUUCUCCAAAGUUGAGAUCUUCGAGCAGCUGUUCGACGUUUCGUUUGUGCAGAUAUUGCAGAGUCACUGAGAGAAACUGUACUGGACUGUUGAGUUAGUGAUGCUGUGAGGUGGUGGUGCACCUGUACCUCUUUUUUAUUAUUAUUGCCAAACUUUUUACAUAAAAGAUCAUGGUAAGAGGGUUGUAUCUAACAAUAACAAUCAUAACGCCAUAAAACAGUAAAUAAAAAUUUAACGUGUUCAUCAUAGUAUGAGAUACUAUACAAGAAAAAAAAUUCACAUAAAAUAAUUGAAAAAAUAUUCUAGAGAUAACGAUUUUGGGUUUUCUAAUUCUAUAAAAAAAUCACAUUAGUGGAGUUAAAAAUAUAAAAACUUAAAUUAACAGUAUUGGCUAUACUACAAUCUUCAUUAUCAAGAUACAAAUACAUUCAUUAAACCUGUCACUCAUAUCUUUUAAGUUUUUACGCUCAUUUUAACUUUGUAGGUCACAUGAUCAACAUAGCGGAUGAUGAUAUCCGCAUUAAUGCUUCAUACACAAAUCAUUCAGGCUGUAGAGUAUGUACUCUUUUAUCGCUCGUUAAAUUAGUUCUUAUUGAAAUUAAGUGCCUAAUUAAAGGGUAUGCGGUUUUGAACGCAGCCGGAUAAAAUCUCGUUUUGACAUCUCGCGUGGUUCUGUGUGUUUUGGACAACUUCAAGUUACGCCUCUUUUGUCAAGUUACGCCCACUUCAAGUUACGCCCCUGUCUUGCAGUCUGCAGACAGACCCUUCUCCAAUAAUUGUGACCAACGAGUAUUUGAGAAAAACGUUCAUUUCAUAUUGAUAUUUCCCCUCCGUUUUAAAUUCUUAUUAUCCAAUGAAAGGAUACAGAAUGGAUGGCAGAAAUGUACGGAAAAAUCAGUUAAAGACAUAAUCAAACAGAUGAUGAAUACUAUUAACAGCAAUUAUUAUAUGUUGCAAUCAAACUUGGAGCAAAAUUUGGUAGUUUUGUAUGUUGUUUCAGGGUUGGCAUCAUCUGAGGUCCUCUGAGUGGUUGGCAUCAUAUCUUCUCAGGUUUUCUGGAUCCAGACUGAUCUUGUGUAAAUCCUAGCUACCACGGGAUGUCAAUCCCUUGGCAGAAACAGAGAAACAAAUAGAGACAUAAUUAGCAUAGCUGCUGUUCCAUUCAAUGAAAAUUAAUUUGUUUAACCCCAGCUAAAGAAUAAUAAUGUGCAUUUGAU